AAAUAUUCACUUUUGUACACAUUUUCUUUAAAUAUCAGAUGUAUACUUGCUAAAAUUACUUUUAUUUAGAGUUCUGUAAAUUGAAAAAAAUGUAAGCAGAGCUCUAGCUAUAGAUAAUAGAUUUGGAGGGUGGGAGAAAUUGUGGGUAACUACAAUUGAUUAGGUGAAAUUUCAAAAGACUUAAAAAGUGCAUCUGAUAUUUAUUUUUACAUAAUGUUAUUUCUGAAAGCAAAUGGACAAUAAGAUGAGGACAUAAACCACCUUCCAGGUUAGGAUAGCAGCUCUUAAGGAAGAUGGUCAAUUAAAUCUUCAACCCAGUCUGAGGCCUUACCAUGAAAAAAAUGUGGUUGUUGAAAUUACAAUGUUUUCAUGGUGUGGGGAGUAAGACUUGAAUAUCUGAUAUUGUUAACAUGAUGGUUAGCAUCACAAGUUUCCUUUGGGUAACUUGCUUGAGGAGUAAAGAGAGCUGUUUAAGUUGAAAGUGUCACUUUUGCUGCCUUGUGUGGUACAAUCUUCAGACAAUAUCCUGCAAACCGUGGCUGAACUGUUACUAUCUUUUUUUAGUAGAAUCCUUAGACAGUAAUCUUGUGGCAGAAUGAGUUGUAAACAAAUUGUUUUUAUUCCUGUAUUGAGUUUCAAAUUGGAUAUUUUUUUAUUUAUAUUAUUUGUAUUCCAUUUGCAUUCAAUUAUUGUUUUUUAAUUGAUGAAUCAUUAAAACUUAAAUUUUGCGGCGUCCUAAAGGACUUUCUUAGAGGGGGCCAGCGCAAUUGAUUAAACAAAAUUUUUCCCGCAACAGGGAGAGGAGACAUCCCCAUAAAUAUGCCUUUGAAAUGGGGUGUUAAAGAAGAUUUGUAUUGUUUGUUUGUUUGUCCAUCAUCAGCUCUCAUCCACAGCUUGGUAGAUUUUCAUUGAAACUUUCAGCUGAUUUUCUGUACUAAAGGCAGUAUGUUUUUU